CAAUGAUUCCAUUAUCAGAUAAUCCCUCAGAUAGUGAUGCCUACAAUAUUGUUUAUAAAGACAUGUCCUUGUCUGUUUUCCUUUCAUCACAGGAUAAUGGAAGUAAACCAAGGAGGUGUAUGUGUGGGAUGUAUUUCCUAUUCUGUCUGGUUGGCUUGCUGCUAAAAAAUCAGAAUAGAGAAGAGAAGACAGUCUUGUGGAGGGUCAAAGGAGCCACUGUUAGUAGUUAUUUGGGAUCUUUGAGGAAACCCCUGCUAAAAUAACUUGAUUGGAGAUUUUCCUUAGUCUGGACCAAACCUUCCCAUUAUUGGACACAGAUGGUCAGCUAGUAAUCAAUCAUCUAUAAUUAUGCUUUGGAAAAACCUCAUGAGCAAAGACCCUCGACUUGUAGUCAAAGCUACAAUUUGACAUUUCCCAGGAUUGGACGAGGCCAGUGAGGUGAAAGAGUAGAGGCCUGAAGAUUCCAGAGAGCUAGUAACAACAUCACUGAAGUGGUUGAGAUCCACAGUGUGUCAGGAGGUGUUUCUAGAGAGGUACACUAGAUGGGAAAUGAGAGGACAUGAAUUCAGUAAGCUCCUUAACCUCCCGCCUCAUUUAUCAAAUGGGUCUGAUGAAAGUGAUAUAUGUGAAAGCACCUGGCAUAAUAUUGGUCAGAUUGUGGUGCUUGAUGAUGGAAUGGUGCAUAAACAAACAAACACAGGCUCUCAACUGA
rnacentral:lncRNA from 1 species